UACGGGGGGGCAAGCGUUGUUCGGAAUUACUGGGCGUAAAGGGCUCGUAGGCGGCCAACUAAGUCGGAUGUGAAAUCCCCAGGCUUAACCUGGGAACUGCAUCCGAUACUGGAUGGCUUGAAUCCGGGAGAGGGAUGCAGAAUUCCAGGUGUAGCGGUGAAAUGCGUAGAUAUCAAGAGGAACACCUGAGGUGAAGACGGGUUGCUGGGCUGACACUGACGCUGAGGCGCGAAAGCCAGGGGAGCAAACGGG
rnacentral:rRNA from 1 species